AUACGGAGGGUGCAAGCGUUACUCGGAAUCACUGGGCGUGAAGCGCGCGCAGGCGGGCUGAUAAGUUGGAUGUGAGAGCCUACGGCUCAACCGUAGAACUGCAUCCAAAACUGUCAGUCUAGAGUGUGGGAGGGGAAGAUGGAAUUAGUUGUGUAGGGGUAAAAUCCGUAGAGAUAACUAGGAAUACCAAAAGCGAAGGCAAUCUUCUGGAACACUACUGACGCUGAGGCGCGAAGGCGUGGGGAGUAAACAGGAUUAGAUACCCCAGUAGUCC
rnacentral:rRNA from 1 species